rnacentral:rRNA from 1 species
UACAGAGGUGGCAAGCGUUGUUCGGAAUCAUUGGCGUAAAGCGCGUGUAGGCGGUUCGGUAAGUCGGCUGUGAAAGUCCAGGGCUACAACCCUGGGAUGCCCGGUCGAUACUGCCUGGAACUAGGAGUUCGGAAGAGGGACGAGUGGAAUUCCCGGUGUAGCGGUGAAAUGCGCAGAUAUCGGGAGGAACACCAAUGGCGAAGGCAGCUCGCUGGGACGUUACUGACGCUGAGGUGGCGAAAGCAUGGGGAGCGAACAGG